GAUGAACGCUGGCGGCGUGCCUAAUACAUGCAAGUCGAGCGAACAGACGAGGAGCUUGCUCCUCUGACGUUAGCGGCGGACGGGUGAGUAACACGUGGAUAACCUACCUAUAAGACUGGGAUAACUUCGGGAAACCGGAGCUAAUACCGGAUAAUAUAUUGAACCGCAUGGUUCAAUAGUGAAAGACGGUUUUGCUGUCACUUAUAGAUGGAUCCGCGCCGCAUUAGCUAGUUGGUAAGGUAACGGCUUACCAAGGCAACGAUGCGUAGCCGACCUGAGAGGGUGAUCGGCCACACUGGAACUGAGACACGGUCCAGACUCCUACGGGAGGCAGCAGUAGGGAAUCUUCCGCAAUGGGCGAAAGCCUGACGGAGCAACGCCGCGUGAGUGAUGAAGGUCUUCGGAUCGUAAAACUCUGUUAUUAGGGAAGAACAAAUGCGUAAGUAACUAUGCACGUCUUGACGGUACCUAAUCAGAAAGCCACGGCUAACUACGUA
rnacentral:rRNA from 1 species